UCGCAGCUGUUUCCCUGGCAGCAAACAGGAGGGGAGGAUGUUAAGGGCCUUCGUUAGGUGGGGUACCAAGUGUCUUGCCCACACCUCUUUGGGAAGUUGUAACACUUUUUCCUUAAUUCAGUCUGCAUCUUAUUCUACAAUGUGCACUUUAUGUCUCUUGCCCUUUUAAAACUUGUUCAGUGAAGGUCAGAUGCCAGAAUAUUAAAAAAAAAGUCUAUGUCGGUACAGUUCUUGGAAUGGCCUGCCCGUUACUUCAGGUUUCAGGAGGUUUUAUCUGAAGCACAUGUUCCUUCCUAGUCCAUGUUGAAACAGGCCUGCUUUGCUCAGGCCCCAUUCCUGUCUCCUUGCUGACCGUAGGGCUGCUGCCUAGGUGCCAUCUCCCUCCUCCGUGAAGGAUGCACGUUUUGUCACUUAAAGCCAGUACAAUCUGUAUGUUACUCCCAAGGACCUCUGGGAACUCAAUGGGACCUGUAAGGGAGAAAAUAACUGAGAAAUAUCUGCUCUGCAAGGAUUUGCUCAUUUCCAGAUCACCUCUGGGUUAUUUCAGCUGUUUAUCAAACAGCAAGUCAUCAACCUAACAAAAACACUUGUUUCAAGUUGUGUUCUGCAGUCCCAAAACUGAAGUUGUAGAUUCAGCUGAAAAACCAUGAGAAAUGACCAAGACACCUGUUGGAGUCAGUUGAAUUUCUGCAGCCUCAGUGGGGCCUUUCUGGUCUUUUCUUCCACUUCUCCAGAAUUUCCUGCAGCAAAUACUUCUUUGUCCUUGCUUUCCUCCACUAUGAUGUUUGGAUAAAAAAUGAGCAGAGGAUAUUUGUCUCUUAAAAAAAAAAAAAGGAACCUAGAAUCUUCAACUGAGCAGUCAUUAUGAAAAUCGCUAAUGGUGCCAAGGCCAAGGAAAGAGUUUCAGAAAAUGACUGUGGGAAGAAGUGAUAACCCCCAGAAUGCAAAAUCAGGGGAGUAUUAUCUGGUGCUUGAACAAGGAGCUCCACUUGACAACUGGUUUUUUUAGGACUUGUGAGGAAUGCAGCAACAGGAAAUCCAUCCACAAAGGAUGCAGUGCCCUAACUUGUACUGCACCUGAAUAGUUACGUGAUAAUUUACUGAAGAAAUUUAGUGUACUUUAAAUUUUUUUCAUAAAAGUUUACAUUGUAUUGUAGGUUAACAUUAAAUGUUUUAUAACAAAAAUCUCCAAACAAGUUGUGGGUCUUUCUGUCCAGGAGAGAUGUGGUAGGUAUUUUCCUAUGUGUGAAGGAAAGUUUGGGAGACCAUGGGGGUGGGAAUAGGGUACUGCAUUGCCAAAAAGCAAGAGAGAAUCAAAGAAGACCAUGGAGUUAAAAUACUGUAUUCCAGUGAAAGGAGGCAACAGUGUGGUAUAGCAGAAGAAGCAGACAGAUCCAGGUUUGAGUGGGAUUUUCUGACCUCAGACAAGUUCUUUCGUUUCCCCUAACAAUAUAUGAAGUUAACACCAUCUGUAUCAAGAUGGGUUUGUAGGUUAAUCAAAUGUAUAUGAAGUGCCCAACAGAGGUGUCAUUGUUCCCUUUGUCCAUGGGAGUGUGUUCUGAAGGAAUAUUUUCUUGCAGUUGUAACUGUCAGUUUCAAAAGGGAUGCCAUGGCUCCUGCUAGAACACACCCAUGUCCUUGUGAAUGAAUGAGUGCCUAAAGAAGAGUCACCUUUGAUCUAAUGAAGUCUGGACUGUUGGAACUCCCCUCCUAAGGAUCUGGGAACAUGGUGACUGUGAUGGCCCUUGGUCUAGUGAAGCAAAGGCAUGGGCAGCCAGCUGGAUUGAUCAUAACAGGGAAGCUGGCGAGGCAGGGGAAAGGAGGAAAAUACAACUAUGGAACCCCAUUUUUUUGACAUCACCCAUCUUCCAGUGAAAUGACAAAGGGGGUUUAUCUUCAGGGCUGCAAUCAGUUUCCCCAUUCAUAAAAAAAGGAAAAGAGGAGACAACAUUCCUUCUGUGGCUGUCAUCCCCAAGAACCCCGUAAGGGACAGAGGACUUCCAUUUUCUGUUGCAUCCCAGGAGGCUGUAGGGUAGCAGUGGAGCAUGGAGGGGAGUGGGGGGAAACAGACUGAAGACCUCUGUUAGGGUUUUUCAAAAGUGGGUUUUCUGAC